rnacentral:rRNA from 1 species
AGGGUUUGAUUAUGGCUCAGAACGUACGCUGGCGGCACGCCUAACACAUGCAAGUCGAACGAAGUAGCAAUACUUAGUGGCAGACGGGUGAGUAACAUGUAGGUAUCUGCCCUUUGGCCUGGAAUAACACGAGGAAACUUGUGCUAAUACCGGAUAAGUCUUUACGGAGAAAGCUUUAUGCACCAUUGGGUGAGCCUGCACUUGAUUAGUUUGUUGGUGGGGUAAUGGCCUACCAAGACUGUGAUCAAUAGCUGAUUUGAGAGGAUGAUCAGCCACAUUGGGACUGAGACACGGCCCAAACUCCUACGGGAGGCAGCAGUGGGGAAUCUUGCACAAUGGAGGAAACUCUGAUGCAGCGAUGCCGCGUGAGUGAAGAAGGCCUUUGGGUUGUAAAGCUCUUUCGUCGGGGAAGAAAAUGACUGUACCCGAAUAAGAAGGUCCGGCUAACUUCGUGCCAGCAGCCGCGGUAAUACGAAGGGACCUAGCGUAGUUCGGAAUUACUGGGCUUAAAGAGUUCGUAGGUGGUUGAAAAAGUUGGUGGUGAAAUCCCAGAGCUUAACUCUGGAACUGCCAUCAAAACUUUUCAGCUAGAGUAUGAUAGAGGAAAGCAGAAUUUCUAGUGUAGAGGUGAAAUUCGUAGAUAUUAGAAAGAAUACCAAUUGCGAAGGCAGCUUUCUGGAUCAUUACUGACACUGAGGAACGAAAGCAUGGGUAGCGAAGAGGAUUAGAUACCCUCGUAGUCCAUGCCGUAAACGAUGUGUGUUAGACGUUGGAAAUUUAUUUUCAGUGUCGCAGCGAAAGCGAUAAACACACCGCCUGGGGAGUACGACCGCAAGGUUAAAACUCAAAUGAAUUGACAGGGACCCGCACAAGUAGUGGAGCAUGUGGUUUAAUUCGAAGAUACGCGCAGAACCUUACCAACACUUGACAUGUUCGUCGCGACUUUAAGAGAUUAAAGUUUUCGGUUCGGCCGGACGAAACACAGGUGCUGCAUGGCUGUCGUCAGCUCGUGUCGUGAGAUGUUGGGUUAAGUCCCGCAACGAGCGCAACCCUCACUUUUAGUUGCCAUCAUUAAGUUGGGCACUCUGAAAGAACUGCCAGUGAUAAGCUGGAGGAAGGUGGGGAUGACGUCAAGUCCUCAUGGCCCUUACGUGUUGGGCUACACACGUGCUACAAUGGUAUCUACAACAGGAAGCAAGACUGCGAAGUUAAGCAAAUCCUUAAAAGAUACCUCAGUUCGGAUUGCACUCUGCAACUCGAGUGCAUGAAGCUGGAAUUACUAGUAAUCGUGGAUCAGCGUGCCACGGUGAAUGCGUUCCCGGGUCUUGUACACACCGCCCGUCACACCAUGGGAGUUGGUUCUACCUUAAGGCAAGGUUUAAAACCCUUGACCACGGUAUAGUCAGCGACUGGGGUGAAGUCGUAACAAGGUAACCA